rnacentral:rRNA from 1 species
CCCUUAGAUGUCCUGGGCUGCACGCGCGCUACACUGAUGCAUUCAACGAGCCUAGCCUUGACCGAGAGGUCCGGGUAAUCUUUGAAACUGCAUCGUGAUGGGGCUAGAUUAUUGCAAUUAUUAAUCUUCAACGAGGAAUGCCUAGUAAGCGUGAUUCAUCAAAUCGCGUUGAUUACGUCCCUGCCCUUUGUACACACCGCCCGUCGCUCCUACCGAUUGAGUGUGUUGGUGAGGAGUUCGGAUUGGCUCUUAGUGGUGGUUCGCCACCACCUAGAGCUGAGAAGUUCUCCAAACCGCCCCACUUAGAGGAAGGAGAAGUCGUAACA